rnacentral:rRNA from 1 species
GUGUGCGAGAGAACUCUGGUUAAGGAACUCGGCAAAAUGACCCCGUAACUUCGGGAGAAGGGGUGCUUUCUUAACGGAAAGCCGCAGUGAAUAGGCCCAAGCGACUGUUUAGCAAAAACACAGCUCUCUGCGAAGCCGUAAGGCGAAGUAUAGGGGGUGACACCUGCCCGGUGCUGGAAGGUUAAGGAGAGGGGUUAGCGUAAGCGAAGCUCUGAACUGAAGCCCCAGUAAACGGCGGC